rnacentral:rRNA from 1 species
AGAAUCAACGCUGGCGGCGUGCCUAACACAUGCAAGUCGAACGGGAAAGUGGAGCAAUCCAUGAGUAUAGUGGCGACCGGGUGAGUAACACGUGACUAACCUACCCUUGAGUGGGGGAUAACCUCGGGAAACCGGGGCUAAUACCGCAUAACAUUUUCAGGAUGAGAAGCUGAGGAUCAAAGGAGCAAUUCGCUUUCGGAGGGGGUCGCGGCUGAUUAGCUAGUUGGCGGGUAACGGCCCACCAAGGCUUUGAUCGGUAUCCGGCCUGAGAGGGGCGCGACGGACGACGACUGGAACUGAAACACGGUCCAGACUCCUACGGGAGGCAGCAGUGGGGAAUUUUGCGCAAUGGGGGAAACCCUGACGCAGCAACGCCGCGUGGAGGAUGAAGUCCCUUGGGACGUAAACUCCUUUCGACCGGGAAGAUGAUGACGGUACCGGUGGAAGAAGCCCCGGCUAACUUCGUGCCAGCAGCCGC